GGGGAUUUAGCUCAGCGGCAUAAGCGCCUGCCUUGCAAGCAGGCAGUUGUAAGUGUGAUCCCCG
rnacentral:tRNA from 1 species